UGAACGUUGUGACAAACUCAAGUCUCAACUGACAUUUGACAAUCAAAUAAAAUAUCAUUGAUUCCUAUUUGUAUUUACCUACAUAUUCAUGUGUUUGACGUUCAGAAAAAUGCAAAAUUUAAAAGUAAAUAGAAAAAAAAGCAAGGAGCUUAAAAAUCUAUUGCAGUUAUGUUCCUGCCAUUUUACGGAGAAGAUUGUCACAAAAGUAAAGUAAUGACUAACAUUAUCACAUGUGAGAGAAAAAUUUCGCAAAUUCAAUAAGCGUGUUGUGUGAAAAGUUAUCAUGUAAGAUCUGUAAAAUUAGCAAAUAUGUAGAAGAAA